GACGUAGGGUGCAAGCGUUGUCCGGAAUUAUUGGGCGUAAAGAGCUCGUAGGCGGUCUGUCGCGUCUGCUGUGAAAACUCGGGGCUUAACCCCGGGCCUGCAGUGGGUACGGGCAGGCUAGAGUGCGGUAGGGGAGACUGGAAUUCCUGGUGUAGCGGUGAAAUGCGCAGAUAUCAGGAGGAACACCGGUGGCGAAGGCGGGUCUCUGGGCCGUAACUGACGCUGAGGAGCGAAAGCAUGGGGAGCGAACAGG
rnacentral:rRNA from 1 species